rnacentral:rRNA from 1 species
AUACGGAGGGUGCGAGCGUUAAUCGGAAUUACUGGGCGUAAAGCGUACGUAGGCGGUUUGCUAAGUCAGAUGUGAAAGCCCCGGGCUUAACCUGGGAACUGCAUUUGAUACUGGCAGACUAGAGUAUGAUAGAGGGGGUAGAAUUCCUGGUGUAGCGGUGAAAUGCGUAGAUAUCAGGAGGAAUACCAGUGGCGAAGGCGGCCCCCUGGAUCAAUACUGACGCUGAGGUACGAAAGCGUGGGGAGCGAACAGGAUUAGAUACCCUAGUAGUCC